CGCCUCAGACCGGAAGGUGGACAGAGCGCGAGGAGAGAAGCUGGCUUCUCACCAAAGGAUGGUCCAAAAAUGCGAUCCCUGUUACACUUGUUACACCAUUAAUCUCUUUAUCAAAACCUUUUGUGUGAGUCCUGGUUCUCCUAAAAGAAGAGGCUAAAAUGAGAUUUAAAGCAGAAGGAUUUUAUUAGGGGAAAGAUGUGAAAAAAAUAGGGAGGGAUCCAGAGAUGGUUAGGAGGGCCAUCAGACCCUGAAUGAAGAAGAGAAGGGGGAGGAAGUUUUCGUGGGAGCAUCCUAGACCACCGUGCAGUCUGGAAGGUUCUCGGGGCCAUUGGUGCGUCGUUCCUCUGCUCCAUCAUUGCCUGGGAGCAGCAGCCCGCGGGAUGUCAGAGCUGGCACUGGGGCCCUGGAUCAAUUACAGGCACUGGAGCAGCAGGUCCCAGAGGCACAUGGUCAUAGCGGCUCCACCUCUCUUCCUAGUUACGGGGUUCCAGUUUCAAGUUCAAAUCCGUGUUUGUCUGGACCAGGGCUUUCUGCGCGGCUUUCGAAUGUGGGCGGCAAUCGAAGACAGAAAGUUUGCACGCCACAGCAUUUCAGCAGCUGAAUAGCGCGAUGGUUUGUGAAGACCAAUGGGCAAGUAUUUAAAAAAUCAAUGAAGAGUUUCUCAAGGCUAGUCCCCUCCUGGCAGAAACGCUUGGGACACCUGUUCAAAUUUCUUUAUUUCUGCCCAGACCUGUCAAAUCAAAGCCUUGGGGGUUGAGAACCAGAGGCCCCCAGCAGACGCCACAUUUAUAGAUGGCUCCAAGGUAAAGGAAGCUCGUUUGAGGGGUUCACACCAAACCCAAAUUAAAUGGUACCAAACAAGUGAAAUCUAACUAUAUUUUCAUAUCACAAUCUCCUACAUUUUUCUUGCCACUGGAAUCUGCAUACAUACACCCUCGUGGUUCAAACUCAUUCUAUUUUCCCAGCCCUCCUUUCAGACAGCCAAAAAAAAAAAAAAAGGUUACAAUAUUCUCAGAAAACUGUGCUUCAGAGAAAGCAGUAAGGUUGCUCAAUCGUUUCCCCUUGUUAAUUUGAGGAUCUUAAAUUAUGCAUGUUGUUGUGCAGGCAUUUGCAUGUGGAAUUCACAUGGCUGAGCUACCAGUCUAGGAGACAAAAUUAAGCAUAAUAAUUCGAGUAACCUGUGUCUGGUCUCGGCACCUGAAUUUCAAGGCUGACUGUGUCUGAGAUAAAGAAUAGAUAAUUAAAUGAUUUGGGAAAAUGCAGAUGGAGCGUUGCUGGGGUCCAAAUAGGAAAGGAGGUGCCUGAGCCCCCUCCCGCCUGCAGCCCUUCUGGACUGCCCAUCCUCUCGCCUUCCACGCCCUCUGGAUUUCAUAACCUUCACGAGGCCGUUUCCCAGAAGGCGCUGACUGCCCGAUUCCCAUCCUUCAGGCUAGCUGGGCAGGAAGGCCAGAAGUGGAGUUUGUCCCCGGCCUGACGUGGGUAACCUUGACUAUAAAGAAACCACCACAAUACAGAUGGCCCUGAAAUUUGAAGCGAGGCGACCGCAAUAUGCAGAUCGGGAACUCGGAGCCGCGCGUCCAUUGGCUGAUUCCUGCUGUGACGUCACAAAGGGCCAGCCCCAACGUGGCCAGAAGUGCUGCGGGCAAGUUUCUGGACCAGUUGAAAAGCUUUUAUUAUUUUUGUGUGUGUGCGAGCCCUUUUUUUUUUUUUAAAUCAGCUGGUGCUGGUUUCCUGCAUUUCCUGUUAGGGGGAAAAAACCGUUUUCAUGUACAGCGAGAGCUGAAGAACUCAGGGCCAAAGAGCGUUUUGUUCUCUGUGGGGCGGCUCUGUCUCUUUACUUGGGGUUGACCAGUGUUGUGCACGAAAAUGACAUGCGGAAAGCUGUAAAUUCCGAAAAGCUCUGGGGACCUCAGGACCCUCUUCAGCGUCGUGGUUUCCAAGAAGCCCCACACUGACCCAAACCCUGUUCGAGGCAAACGCAGAAUCAAGUUCCCUGGCUCAUGAGUUUCUGACAGUCUCCCACCCAGCGUGAAGUUCCCAAUUUCGAUGUCUGAAGAGCAGAAGUUUAUCACAGCCCAGAGAGAAAGAUUAUGGCAGGAUCACAAAAUAGAUACCUACAAGCUUUGCACGUCCAAGGAUUGUCUUUCCCAAACAGUCGCCCUUGAAAUGUCUGGCGGCAACUGUGACUGCCUCUUGGUCCCCUGAAGCCACUGGGAAUUUUUCCAACAUCUCUCACCACGGGGAAUGCCGCCUCCCCAGACUGGCACAGACAGAGAUGUGACACAACUGAAACUUUCCCUGGGGGUGGGCUGGGGUGAGGGGACACUCUGCGUUGUUGGUUUGAUUUGCCCAGAUGCCAUGUUACCUCCCGGGAAUAGCAUCCAUUUUUUUCCUUUGGGGAAUCAUCCCAACCUCAUUGUCAGUCUUUGUUGGCAUGGAGGGGAUCCCCUGUCCCAGGCCUGGCCCAUCCCUGUGUUCCAUUCUCCUGGAUACUCAGUGAUUAGAUGAGGACCAGGCACGUCGCACACAUGGCUGGUGAUGGUCAAUCCUGGGACCUCAUGGGAACUCUGAGAAUCGGUGCUCUCUCUUCUCAGUGGGAUUGCUAAACUGGUGAGACAUAGCCAGGGAGCUAACGGUGACCAUCUUUGCCCCAACAAAGAAAGAGGCUAUUCAACAAUGAAGUCAAUACAAAAAAAGAUGGGAUAGAAGAGAGAGACAGAUUUCUGACAUUGUUUGAACACCUGGAUCCAGCUGUGCCUGAAAGAAGACCCUGUACCUUUUAGUUAAUGGACUCAGUACAUUUUCAUUUUGAUGUAAGUCUGAUUGAGUUGAGUUUCUCUUAACUCAGCAAGAGUCCUCACUUGUACAUCCAAUUGCAAGCCAAGUGUGACCCUCGAGGGUGGGCUUAGGGCCACAAUAGGCUCCUCCCUGUAUGGUUUCAUGCUGAUUCACUUCUGCUUCUCUAACACUUGGUAGGGGAGGGGAAGAGUUGGCAUGACGGCACAUAGAUGACAGAUAGGGGAGAUUGGUUGUUGUGGAGUAGGACAGCUCAGGGAUCGAAUGAAGAGGAUUGGAGUCAGAGCUGGGCAACUGACAUCGCCUCUCUGAGCCCUCGCUUCCCUCCUCUGUAACAAGGGGGUAAUAAAAGUCUCUGCCACUUGGUGUUGUGUGGAGGUUUUAUGCACAGCGUCUGGGGAGAUGGGCUCCCUGCUCCUGGCCUCUGGUGCAAUGUAGGGGCGGCGAGCCGAGGGCUCUGAAAGCCUUCACUGCGGUCGUAACCAACAGCUCUGAGCCUCUGUUGACACUGCCGGCCACGAGCACCUGCCGAGCCAGCAGCCUGCACCUGCCACCCGCCACUCCAGGAAGGGAUUCCGACCCCACCAGAGCAGGCGGCCUCCAUUCUAGGCCGGAUCUUGGCUGUGUGCAGAGUCUGCGAGCCCGCCCACCUGUUCUGCAACCCCAGCU
rnacentral:lncRNA from 1 species